ACGGCCGUAGCUCAGUGGUAGAGCAUCUGGUUUGCAUGCAAAGGCCCCAGUUCAGGACUGGGAGAGGCUAUU